rnacentral:lncRNA from 1 species
AGUCGGCAGCUCACUAUCCUCCACUAGUCCCAGGUUUGACCGUUUCUCAAACCGUGCCUUCCCAUUUAUGCUGCAUCCGCGCCCUGAAUCUGAAAUUGGUCGUCCUGCCACGCCGCCUCACCGCGGUAUAAGGUCGUCCCAUCCUGAAUGGCCGGUGCGCAGACUCAAUUGCGACUUUGAGGCUGUCAGCCGCCACCCGGCAACCUUCCAGUGAACAGGAUUCUGGGUUUCUCAAAGCUGUAAUUGGAGGGCCACUCCAGAGGUGUUAAAGCUCCAGCACUUCGAGCCUGCCUCGUGGGAAAGUCUUAGGCUGAGUCUGUAGGUGUCUGCAGUUAAGAAGCCAGCGGUCUGCAUAUGAUUGCUCAGGGGUGGUGGCUGGGUCCAACAGCAUUCACUACAGGCCUGCCUUGAAUACCACCUAGCGCAGUGCUCCGCAUAUCACAGGUAUGGGAAGCUUUGGAUUCAUAAGCUCAGUAAAUUAAGGAAUUUCACAUUAUGAACUCAAUUUGAGAUGGGUUGGACUGGUGAUACCUGGAAGGGGUAAAUGAGAACCCACUCUGGAGGCACUUUACGCCUGAGGGAGCAUCCACAAAUAAUUUUUCAGGGGCUGGAAACCUAACAAUUUCACUUCCUAGACAACUUGCUAAAAGUCACCUAAAGACAGUCUGGUUACUGCCAAAGAUAUGCUUUCAAAUAAGAUUUGGAUAAAGAAGGGAGGUAGAUGCCUUUUUUCAGCAGUGGAGUGAUGUCUAGACCAGUAGAUGUACGCAUCUAAGUGAAUUCAUCACCAGCAACAAUUUCCAGAAACUUCCUGACCUCCAGAUUGCAGCUUCAUUAGUGUGAGUUUAAAGCCAACUAGAUGCCAUUCUCAGAUUCCACGCAUAUGGCCAAGGGUCCAGGAAAUAAGAAGAAACAGGUUGAGGGGUUGGUGUUAUGGGGCAUUUACUUGAAUUUUCUAUGCUAUAAUUGUCUCAUCUUUAAAACGGUGAUAAUAAUAAAAUUGUCAGUUAUUAAAUAAAUUAACACAGUGAAA